AGCAUAGUGUUUUAGAUCACCUAUUUAGGCCUAGCCCUGGUUUAGAGAAUAAACAUCUCUAUGACUAAUGAUUGUUAAUAAAAUGUAAUAUUUUCAUUUAUUUAUUGUUGCACAGCAGGGCUAACAAUAUCCUGUCCUAGGGCUACUAGCCAGGUCUUAAAAGAUACUUCCCACUGCAUACUUGUAGGGUCCAUGGCACACUUAGAAGGGGUGAAUUUCUACUCGCCAGGGCUAAAUUUGCACUCAGCAAUGGCUAGAAGAGUAUGAAAAAUUUUGAGCCCUGGAACAUAGAACAGAUAUUGACAUGG